UCGGCUUCUCAAGCGCCUGCCAAGGACAGCCAGCGGUGCUGCCACCGCCCUCCUUCAGUGGAUCGGCCCUUGGAGGCUCUUGGGGAGCCGA
rnacentral:sRNA from 21 species